GUAGGUGAACCUGCGGAAGGAUCAUUACAGAGUUCAUGCCCUCACGGGUAGAUCUCCCACCCUUGAAUACUAUACCUUCGUUGCUUUGGCAGGCCGUGGAAACACCACGGGCCUCGGCUAGUGCGUGCCUGCCAGAGGAAACAAACUCUGUUUUUAGUGAUGUCUGAGUAACUAUAUAAUAGUUAAAACUUUCAACAACGGAUCUCUUGGUUCUG
rnacentral:misc_RNA from 1 species